rnacentral:rRNA from 1 species
AGUCUGACGGAGCAACGCCGCGUGAGUGAAGAAGGUUUUCGGAUCGUAAAGCUCUGUUGCCAAGGAAGAGCGCCUUGGGGAGUCACUGCCCUGAGGGUGACGGUACUUAAAAGAAAGCCCCCGGCUAACUACGUGCCAGCAGCCGCGGUAAUACGUAGGGGGCAAGCGUUGUCCGGAAUUAUUGGGCGUAAAGCGCGCGCAGGCGGCCGCUUAAGUUUGGUGUUUAAGCCCGGGGCUCAACCCCGGAUCGCACCGAAAACUGGGUGGCUUGAGUGCAGGAGAGGAAAGCGGAAUUCCACGUGUAGCGGUGAAAUGCGUAGAGAUGUGGAGGAACACCAGUGGCGAAGGCGGCUUUCUGGACUGUAACUGACGCUGAGGCGCGAAAGCGUGGGGAGCAAACAGGAUUAGAUACCCUGGUAGUCCACGCCGUAAACGAUGAGUGCUAGGUGUUAGGGGUUUCGAUACCCUUGGUGCCRRARUUAACACAAUAAGCACUCCGCCUGGGGAGUACGCUCGCAAMGAG